rnacentral:rRNA from 1 species
CCUGAGAAACGGCUACCACAUCUACGGAUGGCAGCAGGCGCGAAAAUUGCCCAAUCCCGAUUCGGGGAGGCAGUGACAAGAAAUAACAACCCAGAACAUUGUUUCCGGGAUUGCAAUGAGAACAAUUUAAAAACCUUAUCGAGUACCAACUGGAGGGCAAGUUCUGGUGCCAGCAGCCGCGGUAAUUCCAGCUCCAGUAGCGUAUAUUAAAGUUGCUGCAGUUAAAAAGCUCGUAGUUGAAUUUCUGUUUGUAAGAGUCGAAGCUUUACAGCUAAGAUUUCUUCGAACAUCUGUUUGCAAGCAUACGUUCGGCCUUCACUGGUUGGCUAUGUAAGCAAGCGCUUUACCUUGAGAAAAUUAGAGUGUUCCAGGCAGGCUUCAGCCGGAAUACAUUAGCAUGGAAUAAUGGAAUAGGACUGGGGACUAUUUAUUGGUUUGAGGCUCCAGUAAUGAUUAAUAGGAACAGUCGGGGGCAUUGGUACUUAACAGUCAGAGGUGAAAUUCUUGGAUUUGUUAAAGACUAACUAAUGCGAAAGCAUUUGCCAAGCAUGUUUUCAUUAAUCAAGAACGAAAGUUAGGGGAUCAAAGACGAUUAGAUACCGUCCUAGUCUUAACUGUAAACGAUUCCAUCUUAGAAUUGGGUGAAUAUUUGAUGAUUCAUCCAGCGCUAUAAGAGAAAUCAAAGUCUUUGGGUUCUUGGUGGAGUACGAUCGCAAGAUUGAAACUUAAAGGAAUUGACGGUUUUGCACACCAUGGAGUGGAGCCUGUGGCUUAAUUUGACUCAACACUGGGAAACUCAUCAGGACAACAAAGUUUUAGGAUUGACAGAUUGAUAGCUCUUUCUUGAUUGACUUAAUGGUGGUGCAUGGCCGUUCUUAGUUGGUGGAGUGAUUUGUCUGGUUAAUUCCGUUAACGAACGAGACCUUAACCUACUAACUAGUACGACGUGACGAACGUUAGUUACUUCUUAGAGGGACAAUGUGUAUUUUUAACACAAGGAAGUUUAAGGCAAUAACAGGUCUGUUAUGCCCAAUCACUAGU